rnacentral:rRNA from 1 species
UACGUAGGUCGCAAGCGUUGUCCGGAUUUACUGGGCGUAAAGAGCGCGCAGGCGGCUGGUCAAGUCCGAUGUGAAAUCUCCCGGCUCAACUGGGAAACUGCAUCGGAAACUGAUCGGCUUGAAGGUGGGAGAGGGUAGUGGAAUUCCCGGUGUAGUGGUGAAAUGCGUAGAUAUUAGGAAGAACACCGGUGGCGAAGGCGGCCCACUGGAUCGGUACUGACGCUGAGGUGCGAAAGCGUGGGGAGCAAACAGG